rnacentral:misc_RNA from 1 species
GAUGAAGAACGUAGUGAAACGCGAUAUGUAAUGUGAAUUGCAGAAUUCAGUGAAUCAUCGAAUCUUUGAACGCACAUGGCGCCUUCCAGUAUCCUGGGAGGCAUGCCUGUCCGAGCGUCGUUUCAACCCUCGAGCCCCCGUGGCCCGGCGUUGGGGAUCUGCCACGGCAGGCCCCUAAAACCAGUGGCGGACCCGAAGGCCCUCUCCUUUGCGCAGUAGCAUCAGCCUCGCAUUGGGAUCCCUCGGCGUCCUGCCUCUAAACCCCCCACAAGUCCGCUCCGGCGGCACCAAGGUUGACCUCGGAUCAGGUAGGAAUACCCGCUGAACUUAAGCAUAUCAAUAAGCGGAGAA